GUCCACGCCGUAAACGAUGAGAACUAGGUGUUGCGGGUAUUGACCCCUGCAGUGCCGCAGCUAACGCAUUAAGUUCUCCGCCUGGGAAGUACGGUCGCAAGACUAAAAACUCAAAAGGAAUUGACGGGGGCCCGCACAAGCGGUGGAGCAUGUGGUUUAAUUCGACGCAACGCGCAGAACCUUACCUGGGCUUGACAUCUGUGGAAUCCCCUGAAAGUGGGGAGUGCCUUCGGGAGCCACAAAGACAGGUGCUGCAUGGCUGUCGU
rnacentral:rRNA from 1 species